rnacentral:lncRNA from 1 species
GAUAUAAUAGUAAGUUUCUAUACUAUAGUAAGAUACAAUUUUUUUUAUUUUACACUAAACAAUUACAAAAAUAAGCAUUUCCAUGUGUGGAGGAGGGUCCCUCAACGUUUGUUUUUUGCUUGAUUAAUUUUGGCUUCAUCUGUGAGCCAUCUCCCCUUUUCCACCUAUGAUCUUUAAUAACUCUACCCUUGCAGAGUUCUGCAACAAAU